rnacentral:lncRNA from 1 species
AACAACUCAAAUCAUGCGGUUAUCACAACAAAUACCAAAUCAUGUAAAAAAUGAGAAUCAAGAGGUCUUUCAAAGGUUGUAAUGUGGCUUAGGUUACAAGAAAGGAUAUGAUUAAGAGAAUUUAAAGAAAAUGCCUAUCUUAAGGGAGAAUUCCCAAACAUUCAACUCUACACAAUUUCCAUUUCUUUGAUCCCUAACUUUUUCUUUUUCCUUUUUCUUUUUACACCCAUACAACCAUGAGCAUUUUCUUUGCUUUUUUCUUUCUUUUCUUUUUCUUUUUUUUUCUUUUUUUUUUCUUUGCUCUAUGGUUUCCAGGGUGAUUUCUUUUUCUUGUUUCUUUUCAUUUUUAUUUCCUUUCAUAAAAACUCAUUUUUCCAAGUUUAUAAUCAACUCUUUUUUCUUUACUCUCCCCAACUUUAGAUUCCAAACCAAAUCUAUUCAAUAAUGCUCCCUACUUAGACAUAAGCAAAAGGCAAAAAUUUUACACAACUCGGUUUGAGGGUUCAAUUGACACAAAAGAAAUUAGGAUUCAUUUAUUCCAAAAAUUUCAAUUUAUUUUACAAUGAUCAAUCGAAUGAAUCCUAAAAUAAGCUCAAAGGGGUUUAACUAAGGAUUACUCCUCACAAGGUUAGUUGAUUCAAACUUUUUGGUCAAGUGGUAUUUCUCACAAACAAUGCCUCUAUCAUUUUCAAAAUUUUCACACAAAGAUAGAUUGAUACAUGAUUUAGCAUGAUAAGAAUGAGUUGAAAUAAUGCUCAGUUUCCCGCUUUUUAGUGUACAAUGGAAAGCUUCCUCACAAUUGGUUAAGUCCUAUUUUGAUUCAAAGAUGACAUACAUUUCAAUGAGUUUAUGAUAUGAGAUUUGUACACACCAUCAAACUACUCAUGUUAAGUCUAGAAAGCAAUAAAGUGUACCUUGGAAUGCCGAUACUAAUUCUUAUCAUCACCACUCGAAGUGUCCUAUGCUUUUUUCUUUGGGAUCAUUUCUCGGUUGCUUUAAGCUUGACUUAAGAGUAAGAACAAUUAAGCAAAAAUGUUGGUAAACCAAUUUGAUUAUAACACACUUAAAUCUCAAAUAGUAUUCAUGCAAUUAUCAAAACAACUAACAAAAAAAACAAAGUUUUGGUGAACUAGAGCCACCCAAAAGUACAUCAAA